rnacentral:rRNA from 1 species
UGGGGAAUAUUGGACAAUGGGCGAAAGCCUGAUCCAGCCAUGCCGCGUGUGUGAAGAAGGCCUUUUGGUUGUAAAGCACUUUAAGUGGGGAGGAAAAGCUUAUGGUUAAUACCCAUAAGCCCUGACGUUACCCACAGAAUAAGCACCGGCUAACUCUGUGCCAGCAGCCGCGGUAAUACAGAGGGUGCAAGCGUUAAUCGGAAUUACUGGGCGUAAAGCGCGCGUAGGUGGUUAUUUAAGUCAGAUGUGAAAGCCCCGGGCUUAACCUGGGAACUGCAUCUGAUACUGGAUAACUAGAGUAGGUGAGAGGGGAGUAGAAUUCCAGGUGUAGCGGUGAAAUGCGUAGAGAUCUGGAGGAAUACCGAUGGCGAAAGCAGCUCCCUGGCAUCAUACUGACACUGAGGUGCGAAAGCGUGGGUAGCAAACAGGAUUAGAUACCCUGGUAGUCCACGCCGUAAACGAUGUCUACCAGUCGUUGGGUCUUUUAAAGACUUAGUGACGCAGUUAACGCAAUAAGUAGACCGCCUGGGGAGUACGGCCGCAAGGUUA